UACGAAGGGUGCAAGCGUUAAUCGGAAUUACUGGGCGUAAAGGGUGCGUAGGCGGUUCGUUAAGUCUGUCGUGAAAUCCCCGGGCUCAACCUGGGAAUGGCGAUGGAUACUGGCGAGCUAGAGUGUGUCAGAGGAUGGUGGAAUUCCCGGUGUAGCGGUGAAAUGCGUAGAGAUCGGGAGGAACAUCAGUGGCGAAGGCGGCCAUCUGGAACAACACUGACGCUGAAGCACGAAAGCGUGGGGAGCAAACAGG
rnacentral:rRNA from 1 species